rnacentral:lncRNA from 1 species
GGGGAGGAAGGGUCGGGGCUGGGCCCGGGGCCGGGCUGGGCAGCCGGUGCUGGGAGUUAGGCCGAGUUUAGCCUGACCACGGAGGUAAGCGGAGAAAAGGGACGAAGGUGAAAUUAAUGAGGGGAAGGAAGAGGAGCGGGAAGAGGGCUGUUCUUUUCUCGUUAUGGUUUUGCCAUGCCAAAAAUGGAAGGACCGGCCGGAAGGACGGGCAAGAAAGGGAGCCUGGGUGACGGCGUCGAAGUGAAUAAGACAAACGUAUUUACACACUAAAAUUCUCAGAGCAAAGACGCUGUAGUGGAAAUCCUUUUCUUCCAUCACCAUUGAGUUAAAGAAGAGCCGCUACAGUUCUUGCUUCUCUUUUGCAGUGAACUUUUUACCGAAAGUCCUCAGCUGACAGUGCACUUUGACAACCUAACAGCAUGGAAGUGACCAGCGCACGUGUCGGUGUCCGAGGCGGGUUGCUUUCUAACAUCAGUGACUUCUGGGCUGUCACCCCUGAGAGAAGAAUCAGAGCCCAAGAGAGUGUACUUGUCAGUAGUUUAUGGAUGACAAUAGUCACAUACACACUGCUUCACGAUAAGGCAAGUUAUCAUCAUUAUUCCUUGACCUGUUUUUCAGCCUGUAAACGACUGGGUCUAAAUUCCUCCCCACAAACUGAAGAUAUUGUUUGUUGAUCUAUUGUAUAGAACUGCCUUGAAAGAGUUAGUAUUUAUCUUAGAUGACUCAUAGAUUGCUCUGAUGAUGGAUGUCUUCUCUAGAUCUCUGUGUUUGUAAACGUAUAUAUGUAUAUGGUUUGCUUUUACCAAAUACCCUUUAGAGUCUUUACUUCUUUUAAGGAUUGUUUUUUAAAGAAUCACUGUUAGUCAUGCAAAAGUUCCUGAGACAAAGAAAAAUUCUAUAUUACACAGGAGGCCAGCAAAGACAUCUGAAAAAAAGGAUGACUUACUAUUUAGAGCAACUGAAUAAGGGUGCAAAAGGAGAACUGAAUUCAACUGCUAAAUUAUAGGGACAUGCUUAAUAUGCCCAUGUUCUUGAGUAAGCCACUUAAUCUACAUGAUGCUUCAGUUCUCCAUUUAUGACAUAGGGAUAAAACUUCACAACCUGGUUAUGCAGAUGAAAAUCCAUGAAUGAAUAUGCACUGCAGACAGUGAUGACAGAUUACUCGGAACUUCCCCUAUUUAUCCUCCUGGCCAUGCCUUGGUCUUUGAUAUAGUCUUGGAUCCUAACUUAAACAACAUUCUAUUGCAGAUAUCCUGACCUUAAAAUGUUGCGCUCUGUGGCACCUCUUUAAAUCAGAGAUAGAUCCUCAUUGGUUUGUGAUAGAAAACAAUGAAAGUACAUUAAGAACAUAAUCACAGUAUAAAAUUUUAGGGUAAAACACCAGAAUAGUUGCCCUAAGAUAAAAUGGCUCUCUAACAGAGCUAUAUGUAUACCUAUCAAAUAUAUUAAAAAAAAAAAAAAAAGAAAAACCAUACAAUUUGUUGAAGUUGCACUUUGAAAAAAGACUUCGGAAGCACCUCACUUAGUUAUACAAGUACUGUUCAGUUGUAAGCUUUGAAUAGUUGGCAUCUACUUCCAUGCAGUAUCAAGUGGGUAAUAUUUAAUGCAAAAGAAAGGUUGCUGUACGUUUUGUGCAAAGACGACAUUGACAGCAAUCUGAAGUGCAACUGCAUG